AAUUCGAUUCCCUUAGUAGCGGCGAGCGAAACGGGAAGAGCCCAAACCAACAAGCUUGCUUGUUGGGGUUGUAGGACACUCUAUACGGAGUUACAAAGGACGACAUUAGACGAAUCAUCUGGAAAGAUGAAUCAAAGAAGGUAAUAAUCCUGUAGUCGAAAAUGUUGUCUCUCUUGAGUGGAUCCUGAGUACGACGGAACACGUGAAAUUCCGUCGGAAUCUGGGAGGACCAUCUCCUAAGGCUAAAUACUCUCUAGUGACCGAUAGUGAACCAGUACCGUGAGGGAAAGGUGAAAAGCACCCCGGAAGGGGAGUGAAAUAGAACCUGAAACCGUGUGCUUACAAGUAGUCAGAGCCCGUUAAUGGGUGAUGGCGUGCCUUUUGUAGAAUGAACCGGCGAGUUACGAUUUGAUGCAAGGUUAAGCAGUAAAUGUGGAGCCGUAGCGAAAGCGAGUCUGAAUAGGGCGUUUAGUAUUUGGUCGUAGACCCGAAACCAGGUGAUCUACCCUUGGUCAGGUUGAAGUUCAGGUAACACUGAAUGGAGGACCGAACCGACUUACGUUGAAAAGUGAGCGGAUGAACUGAGGGUAGCGGAGAAAUUCCAAUCGAACCUGGAGAUAGCUGGUUCUCUCCGAAAUAGCUUUAGGGCUAGCCUCAAGUGAUGAUUAUUGGAGGUAGAGCACUGUUUGGACGAGGGGCCCCUCUCGGGUUACCGAAUUCAGACAAACUCCGAAUGCCAAUUAAUUUAACUUGGGAGUCAGAACAUGGGUGAUAAGGUCCGUGUUCGAAAGGGAAACAGCCCAGACCACCAGCUAAGGUCCCAAAAUAUAUGUUAAGUGGAAAAGGAUGUGGCGUUGCCCAGACAACUAGGAUGUUGGCUUAGAAGCAGCCAUCAUUUAAAGAGUGCGUAAUAGCUCACUAGUCGAGUGACACUGCGCCGAAAAUGUACCGGGGCUAAACAUAUUACCGAAGCUGUGGAUUGUCCUUUGGACAAUGGUAGGAGAGCGUUCUAAGGGCGUUGAAGCAUGAUCGUAAGGACAUGUGGAGCGCUUAGAAGUGAGAAUGCCGGUGUGAGUAGCGAAAGACGGGUGAGAAUCCCGUCCACCGAUUGACUAAGGUUUCCAGAGGAAGGCUCGUCCGCUCUGGGUUAGUCGGGUCCUAAGCUGAGGCCGACAGGCGUAGGCGAUGGAUAACAGGUUGAUAUUCCUGUACCACCUAUAAUCGUUUUA
rnacentral:rRNA from 1 species